UUACAAAUUAAUUAAAAAUAUAAAUUAUAAAAAAAUAAGUAUGACUUGUAAUUUUGAAGUUGAAAUUUAGAAAGUAUUUGCCGAAAUUAAUUUCAGGUUCAAUUAAUUCCUGUUCAAUUUAAUAUAAUUUUUUGAAAAAACUUCAAAUACUAUCCUGUGAUUUCGUGCUUUCUCACCUUAGUACGUACUUUAUGUUUUAAAAUGAAUUAUUUCCUAUUUUGUGAUUUUGUUUUUCUCUUUUUUUCUUAUCUCAUCGAUUAAUUUUUUCAUUAAAUCAAUGAAAAAGUUAAAACCACAUGGUACUUAAGCAAAAAUUCGAUAAACCACGGAGUAAUAAAGUGAAUAUUCAAUAAACCAUAGAUGGGUAUCUAAAGUAUUUUGUAUAUGAUUUAAUGGAGAAUUAAUAGAGACGCUGACGAAAAGAGAAAUAUAAAAUCACAUGAUAGUAAAGCAAUACACUUUAAACCACAAAAUACUAAAGUAAAAAAAAAUGAAACAACAAUGAUGACAUUUGAAAUUUUU
rnacentral:lncRNA from 1 species